UUAAUUGAAACCAAAAAAGAGGUAUAUCACUGUUAAUGAUAAAAAUGAGAAAAAUUCUCCAAUUAAA
rnacentral:tRNA from 1 species